rnacentral:rRNA from 1 species
CACGUAGGGUGCGAGCGUUGUCCGGAAUUAUUGGGCGUAAAGAGCUCGUAGGCGGUGUGUCGCGUCGGCCGUGAAAACCUGUGGCUUAACUGCGGGCUUGCGGUCGAUACGGGCAUCACUGGAGUUCGGCAGGGGAGACUGGAAUUCCUGGUGUAGCGGUGAAAUGCGCAGAUAUCAGGAGGAACACCGAUGGCGAAGGCAGGUCUCUGGGCCACUACUGACGCUGAGGCAUGAAAGCGUGGGGAGCAAACAGG